rnacentral:lncRNA from 1 species
UUCCAUUUCAAAAUUUUAUUACAUCAAAAACAAAUAAACAAAUACAACCAAACCUAAAACCCAAACCAACCCAAAGAUACAAGAUAAUAUUCAUUCUUGUCUAACCCAGAAAAAAUUCAAAAACAUUUUAAAAAACAAAAGAAAUAGAAAUGCCAGCUUCAAAAAUAUUUAUCCAAAAAGUAAGGCAUUGACUUUAAUAAAAAAAAAAAAAAAACCCCGAUAAUACAAGUAGAGGAAGAGGUUGAAUGGAAGGAGAAAGAAAGGUCAAAAGGAAGUGGUUGACCCCCUCCCCUACACCUUAGCUGCUUGCUCUUAUCAAAACCUGGGCCUUGAAUAAUUAGCCUUGUGAGGCAGUGUGGUAGAGAAGGAACUCUAACCCAAGUUAGGUAUUAAAGGCAGAGGGGAGGAGAAAUGGAGUUAUUCCUGGAAUUCCCUGUCUCUGGAGAGCACUGAGGUACUUGAAGGGAAAUGAGGAGAAAGAUUCCCUAGCUCCAGGUCUAUGUGGGAAUAAGUGGCCAGGAACAGAGUCUGAUGAGCAAGGAAGGAAUAACAAAUCUCAGAAAGCUUUGGGAGGAUCCAAAUUCCAGGGACCCACCAUCUCUAACUCUGGAGAUAUGGUUGAAGAGGUUAAAUUAGCUUUAUUACAAAGGAUCAAAGUCAUUACUAAGAAACAAAUGGAAAACCAUCUACUGGUAGUUCAGUUUAUCUGUCCCAAGAGGGACUUAGGUAGUCAGUUGGAGGCACUCCUUCCCUAGUGAGGGAGAAAAAAAUAGUUAAGAGCCAUCAGAUAGGCUUUUCUAGCUAUCUCUAAGCUGACUUUCAUCCUCCCUCAUCUAAGUCCUCAGCAUCUCCACAUUAGUGGUAUGUCUUAUCUUUGGAAAUAAGUCCUGAAGGGAGGGAGAGUAAGUACUGUUUGGAUGGGGGUAUAUGUAUAGGGGAAGAAGGGAGUCCUAGAGGGUUCCUUGGAGAGAAAGUGGGAGCUAGGGAGAUAAGAUGGUACUGGCCCUCACCCCAGGACCUACUCCUUCCCAAGCCCUACUCUUCAAACCGAGUAUCUAAGAUCCCCAGAAGAAGUGGGUAGCUCCAGCAGGGAGGAAAAGCUGUCCUAAGGGAUAAGAAAUAGAUUUCCAGAGUGCAAGAUGAUGAAAGAAGCUGGUCCAGCCCUGAUUCCAAAAUGAAGUCCUGGGUGGGUCAGUCUCCUCCCUAGGGAGAGGUAGGGGAAGGAGAGACAGUGCUCAUCCUUUGUUGGUCCUUAACCCAAUAUGGAAUUUGUAUGUGUUUGGCAAGGAGUCACAAGAUGUGGGAAAACACCUGUCCUUGUCCUCCUGCACCCUGCAGAGGCUCACAGCCUCUGGCCAUCAACCCCCUUGCCUGGGAGACCUCUGGCUUCUGUCAGAAGUGAGGUCUCUGUCCCUCAGGCUGGGAAAAGGGAGGGA